GUUAUGCUAUAUUUUUUAGGAAAUAAUGACAAGAAGAAAAGUUUGUACAUGUUUAGUACAGACGCAAUCGUCAUAGGCCUUCAAAUCCGCGUUGGUAGAAUCGCGAAUGUGGAACUGGGGAUAGAGGGUCGACUAUACAUGUUCCCUUUGUUGACACUUACCUGGUUUCCAAAAAAAUCUACAUGUGAUUCUAGCAAUUGUAUUUGGAAGGUAAUUCAAGAUUUUUCUCACACAUUAUUUUGUUAAAAGUGAGUGAGUUUGGGGCACAUACAUUUUUUCUUUGUAAACAUCAGCCAAAAACAUUAUUUUGAGAAAGGUGUACAUUCCGUGAAAUUUGGGUACUAUAAACCAAAAUGGGUUCUACAAAGAAAAUGUUAACUGGAAGAUACUCUGGAGAAUGUGCCUAUAUUCUCUCAUGUAACUUUUCACAGUUUCCAGCAAUUAAUUUCCCUCCUUUCACAGACAGAAAGUUGAAGUUCAGAGAGCUUGAGUGACUUGCUAAAGGUCUCUUGUAUGCUAAAAGUGUCCAUAAAUAUAUUUAUUGAUUUUACUGAAAUUCAUUUAUUUAAUUUGCCUUGAUAUUUUCAAGAAUCUAGAGCUAGCUAAAUUACUCCCUUUCAUGAAGAAUCUUCUUUCUCCAGUCAUUCCUAGUGUUUCAUUUCUUGUGAAUACUGAAUAAAUAUUUGCUGACUACUAUAUAUUCAACCCCUUUGAUCCCUUUCGCUUCAAAAGGAGAAAAAGUGGUAACUCUGGUUUGCCCAGCUUAAGAGAAAGAAUAGUAACUUUGCAUUCCACAUAUAGUAUUGUCUUUCCUAUAGCUAAAUUAUAUUGCAUACCUUUAAAUCCAUGUAAUUUCCAUGUAUUUACAUUCAAUUUCCUAUCUUUUAAAAGUGUCCAUAUUCAUAUUUUACAUUCUCAACAACUUUUCCUCUGCAACUUUGUAUCCCUCUCUCUUUUAUUUUUGUACUAUUACCACAAAUAAUAUCACCUUAAAUUGUGCAAAAUGAAGUUGUUUUUUCAGUUAUUCAGUUUGGAUACAAUUCAAUAAUUUCCAUCAAAAUAGUUACUUGGAAAGUCAUUCCAGCUGCCAUUACCUGUCUGAACCAAAGGCAUCAUUCUAUUAUCAUUCUAUUUUCAGAAACUCAAUUUCGUAGGUUUGUGUGAAAAUCCUGGUUACAUAGUGGCAAGCCUGCCUGGACCUUCCAGUUAGUACUGCUUUUUACCAGACAACAGGGAAAAAUUGUCUUACAUUAGCAAUAUUUUUGAUAACUUUAAUCACGUUUGUCUUUCUAAGUACCUGGAAUACUCAAAACGAAUGACUGAUUCAUAUUGACCUGCUAGCAGCUAACCACGUAAGUGUUUAUUAGAACGGUGUUCCUGAAUUCUCUAGAAAUAUAAGAGUUCAAGGUGGUUUUCACUUCAACCAUUUUGUUCUUUUCAUACAUAAGGCUGGGAAGUUCUUGAGGGUGUUUUCAAUAUGCUAAUUUAUAGGGAAAUGCAAUGUUUUUCCCAUUGCUAAAAUUUCUGGAACUUUUACUUUUUCAAAUGGCCCUCAGGUCUAAGCCUAUCCUUUGUCAUGUAGAGAAGAGUGUUUUUAGUGACUUUUUGUGUUUCUCAAUAUCAAACAUUCAUUAAGAACGGAUGGUUUAUUUCUAAGUUUAGAAACAACUUCAGGUUAGAUAUUACUUUUUCCUUCAGGAAAUUUCACCAGUGCUCUCCUAAAUGUCCAGACAUCCAUUAUACUUUUUUCUUUUAUAUUUACUCAAGAAAAUUUAUCGUUUGAUUCCUUGGCUUGUCUUCUUGGACUUUCGGUUGUGUGCAGGUAUCUGCUCCCUCUUUCAGUAUGAAGUUUUGCCGAUUAAUACAUCAGCUAUGUGGUCUGAGGGCCACAUGAAAUUCUUUAGAGCCGUUUUCCUUAGGCUUUCUAUGCAUAAAUCAUCUUUACCCUUUUGAAUGGAAAAUUUCAUUAAAAUUAAUAGGUUUAAUUUAAAGUAAAUUAUUUAAAUUGGUUAGUUAAAAAUUUUGACAGUCACAAUGUAUCAAUGCAUAUUGACUCUAUUAAUACAAUUUUCCUGUUUGCUUUGACCUUUAUUUUUCUUUACUCAAUUGAACAGAUAUUUUUGAGUGCUUACAUUGUGCUCGGAAGUGUAGGAGAUAAAAAAUGAAACAUAAAUCCUGCCCUCUGGGUUUAGGCGUAUACAAGUACAAUAGUCCAAUCAACGUAAGGAUGGGGAGGCAUUUGGGAUUCUGCUCCAUACGUCAUUCAGGGUUCCAGGCUUCCUCAACAUGUGGAUUUCAAGUUUUCAAGGAGUCCAGAGAUUGCAGGAUCCAGAGAAAACCCCGGGGUGAUGAUCGCCGCCUCCGGUACCAAGCUGGACAAUGGCCUAGAGAAGACUCAGAGGCCACUACGAAAUCUCCUAUCUGCCAAAACUCCCAGCGCUUUCAACUUCUCCUAGACAAACAAUAAUUUGACUUUUGCUUCUCUUUUACCUUCAGAAUCCCAUGCAAGAGACUCUCAUUGAUGAGAUUCUUGGAAAUUUAGCUCCAAUCUUUUAACUCCAAUACAGACCAUGGAAGGGAGACAAUGACAAGUUACGAAUGACAAUCUAAACAGUAGUUUUUAUUGUUAAGUAUAUGUGCAUUCACUGUAUUUUUAUCAGCAUGCUUUAUAAAAUGAGACUUCUGCAGCAAUAAACUAAUGGAAAAAACUUUGAAGAGUAAUUAAACCUAUCAGUGAGUUAAAUGAUACUUAACAGGUUGACAAAAUAGGUAAAAUUCAGACCAUUAUAAGGAAACAAAAAGGUUUUAUAUCAUAAAAAGUAAAAUUAAAAUUGAUUAAUGUAUUUCACAAAGCUGAAUUCUGUGAAUGCAAAGCAUUUUAUGCAACAUAUUAGUAGAACUGCAAUUGUGAAAUUAGCCUUAAGAUAUUCAUAUGAUAUUAAUGGGAAAUGGUAUUUUUAUAGAAAUGUGAAGUGGUAAGCAGUUCGUGAAAGGAAAUUUUUCAUAAUCUAUUUCCAGUAUAAAACGUUUUUAAAGAUUCAUUUCUUUGGUUUCUAAUUGGUCACUUUGACCUAUUUCUAUAAUCUUUUUAUCAUAGUAAAAAUAUGUGUGUUUUCUGUGUAUGUAAAAGUUUUCUAGAGAUUCUAUAUACACAAUUGAAGUCAGUGCUCAUUUGCAUAUGUCAAGGAAAUAUUAUUAUAAUUUGCUUUAUUCAUUGAUCUAGGAAUUGCUGUAACAGCGCUUCUCUCCAUCUUUAGUGGAAUGAGUGACUUUUACCUGUGCUUGAUGUUUUCCCAUUUUCCCAUUUGGUUACCUUCCACCCUCUCCUCCCUCUCCUGUGCCCUGGGCAGUGGACCUCCAUGGACCCCUUCCAUGAGUUUUCUCGCCCUUGGCUGCCAGUUGGAUUUAGCCAGUGUGAGGCACUGGCAGCAGGAGAUGGACGCUUGGGAUAAAAGUUCCGGCUAUUUAUUUCUCCAGGCAAUUCGCCAUCAGUCCUUUCAAGCAGCCUUCUCCAUAGAAUUAUUUUCUCUAGAUUUCAGUAACUGCUUCAUCGUCAGAUCCUUCAGGCCCAGGGGUGAUAAUAGCUCCCUGGGGAGCUGCACUAUCUCCUGCAGUAUCUCUCCCAUAAACCCAAACCACACCUUCGUCACUAGUCCUUUUCAUUAAACUCUCUUCAAUUAGCAAGUUUCAAUCUGUUUUCUGUUUUCUUCCAAGACUUUGGCUAAUAUAAUACCCUUUGCAAGCUAUGCUAUAGAAAGAAUUGCUAUGACUAAUGAAAAAGAUACCCAUGCUCUAAUAAAACUUGGCUUCAGCAGUUUUCUAGAUUUAUGCUUUAAGGUCUCUGUGAGCAUACCUGGCCUUGAAGCCAAGACUACAAUAUAGCUAAUAUUCAAAGCGCGAUUAAUUCAUCCCUUGUUUAAUCUGUCAACAAAUAUUUCUCAAACUCUUACGCUGCGUGCUGACCUAUGUUUGCUGCAGAUAAGAGUAUAGCAGUCUAAGGCAUGGCUGCUGCCCUUAAGAUGCUUGCUUUCUUCUCGGAGUCUUUCAGACCCUUGUUUUUAACCCCUAUCUGUCACUAGUCUAAUGAGCCAUAUUACAUAUAUAACGAAAUUUAAAGCACUUAUUAAAUAAUGUAACAUUCUAAAUAAUAUACAUAUAAAAUAAUAAAAAUUGUUCAUUUUCCCUAUCUAGUAAAUGAGUUAUUAAAUCAGCACGUUAAUCCUUACUACCUUUCUUCAGCCAACCUGUCCAUUUUGGAAGAAAGAAGUUAUGGGGAACAGAGAAGAUAUGAUAUUUUGUUAUUCAAAACUUAACUGUAGUGUGCCAUUUCUCCACCUCCAUCCAAGGCCAAGUAGAGCACAAACUGGGGAAAAAAAGAGUUUAAUAUUAUCCCUGCCUGAUUUUUUAUAGUAAUCGGCACCAAGUUUUUUAACACCGCAGGAUAAAUUUAUCAGUCCUUUCUAUGUGUAAACUUACCUGGUUUAACUAGGCGAUUCAAAUUUUAUUGGGUAAUUUUCUAAUAGGCAUAAAUUUGACUGUUGAGUUAUAAAAUUUGAACUUGGAUGGGUAGUUUUUCUGUAGAUUUUCAUACCAAGGAAAAACCUUGGAGUUGUCUGUUUUCCUCCUACCCCUUAGUGCUGCCUCCACUCUGCCACAGCCAAUCACCACCAAAGUCCCAGAGAUAUUAUCUUCACAAUAUUACACUCCUUGAUGAACCAAAUGUUUGCUGAGUGAGGUACUCUUCUACGUGCUUGGGAUACAUCCAUGAGCAAAAUGCAGGUCUUGGCUCUGUUAGAACAAACACUCCAGCAGGGAGAGACAAUAAACAGUGGACAUAACAAAUAAUUAUACAUAUGUUAGUGGGUGAAAAGUGCCACGAAAAGUGACAAAGAAGAAUAAAAUGAGGGGGGACUUCCUCAUUUUAUAAAUGUGGGUGGCUACAGGAGGUCUCAACAAGAUGGUGGCAUUUGAAUAAAGAUGUGAAGGAGGCAGGAGUGUUAGCCAUCUGAGGAUGAGGCAUUCCAUUCCAGGCACAAGGAAGAGUCUGCAAUGACCCGAAGGUGAGAGCGUACUCGGCACAUUGAAAAGAUAGAAAAAACUGCUAAAGCGUGGAAGGGUUCAGAGGGUAAACAAAGUGCAGGUCAGAGAGAUAAUAGGGAAUAAGAUCAUAUAGGGCCUUGGAGGUCAUUUAAAGAAUUGUGGCUUCUACUCUGAGUGAGUGCAGAAUCAUUGAAGGGUUUUGAGCAAGGAGUGAUAAGACUUAUGUGUUUUAAAGAAAAUUUGGCUGUGGUAUUGGGAAUAGGACUUGGUGGAGUAAAGGUGGAGUAGAGAGAAUAGCUGGGAGGUUACUGCCAUAACACAGGCAAAGGCAUUGAUGACUCAGGCUGGGGGAGCACAUCCCCCAGGAAAUAGCUGGGUAAGACUAUGUUUCAAAGUUACAGCUGAGAGAGUUUACCGAUGGGUCAGAUGUGGAACUUAAGAAAAAGAGGAGUUAAGGAUGACCGAAAGGAUUUUGCCUAAGCAACUGGAAGAAUGGAAUUGCCAUCCACUGAGAAGAGAAGACUGCAGAUAGAAGAUGAUUGCAAGCAAAAGUCAAGAGUUCAGUUUUCUUUUUUUGAUUUUUUAAUUUUUUUUCCUUUUUCUCCCCAAACUCCCCCAGUACA